GCAAGCCUGAUGCAGCCAUGCCGCGUGUGUGAAGAAGGCCUUCGGGUUGUAAAGCACUUUCAGUUGUGAGGAAGGUGGUGUCGUUAAUAGCGGCAUCAUUUGACGUUAGCAACAGAAGAAGCACCGGCUAACUCCGUGCCAGCAGCCGCGGUAAUACGGAGGGUGCGAGCGUUAAUCGGAAUUACUGGGCGUAAAGCGCAUGCAGGUGGUUUGUUAAGUCAGAUGUGAAAGCCCCGGGGCUCAACCUCGGAACUGCAUUUGAAACUGGCAGACUAGAGUACUGUAGAGGGGGUAGAAUUUCAGGUGUAGCGGUGAAAUGCGUAGAGAUCUGAAGGAAUACCGGUGGCGAAGGCGGCCCCCUGGACAGAUACUGACACUCAGAUGCGAAAGCGUGGGAGCAAACAGGAUUAGAUACCCUUGGAG
rnacentral:rRNA from 1 species